CAUUGCUUGCAAAGGUUCUUUUCUCACUCGCCGGCCCAAGACCUCUCCCCUUCCUAUCCUGCAUCCACUGCAGCUGGUCUGCGGCAGACAGGGUCUUAAGAAGUCACUGAGCUGCCUAGACUGGGCUAGACUUGGGGAUCCUCCUGCCUCAGCCUCCUUUGGUGCUGAGCCUGCAGGCGUUGUCCUGGCAGUGCAGCCCCAACCCUAAUGCAGGGCCUGACUCAGUGCCAGUGCCUCGUGUGGGACCGGCUCCCCAGAGGGCACUGUGGGGCUGUCACCACUUCAGCAUCCCAUACCCGUAUUCUGGAGAAGCAGCCCUGGGUCCUCAGGAAAGAAGGUGUGAAUCAAAUAAUCACACUCACCAGGUGAUAAACUUUGGUACGUGCCAUGCAGGGGACAGACAAGGACCUUGGUGCAUUCUGAGAGUGAGGGAGGCUGAGAUAGGAAGGAUGAACCACAACUCGAAAGGUGGGAACAGGAGAGGAGUCAGUGUACCAGGUGGGGACGGUAGGUGCAAAGGUCCUGGGGUAGGAAGAUCUGGCAGAUCCAGCUCAAAGAGGAGCCCAGGGAUGGGGUGGUCAUAUGCAGAGUGGAAGGGGGAGAGAUGCGAGGGCUGGGUGGAAGAGGGCAGGGCCAAGCCAGUGGCACCUGGUGGAGCAGGCCUAUUGCCAUGGGCAAGGAUGUUUGGGCACACAGUGGGGCUGCUCAGGGCAGGGAGACGGCAAGACUGCACUUGUGCAUGGCCGCGGGGGGAUCACUGGGCAGCGCUGGGCCCAGGGAGGAGCCGCAGCCGGGAUCCUGUGCCCGGGGAGCCAGAGGGAUACUCAGGGCAGGGAAGCCGUGCCCAGCCUCUGUCACCAGCACCUCGGGCCCUGAGCACCAGGGGAAGCCGCCUGAGGGCCGGUGGGUGUCCUGGACAGAGCGGGCAGGCCAGGGGCCGUCCCUCUGUGCCCAGGGGGAGACGCGCUCACUGAGGGAGCCUGGACCGACUGUGGAGAGGCUGAGCCAGCUUCUCCCUGCUUGACCCGCCCGGCCGGCCCUGGCCCACGCGCCCUCACUAGGUCCUUGGCGUCCUUGGUGGUGUAGCCCUUCGCCCUGCUCCUGCUGCUGACCAUCAGGUGACCCGAGGGUGGCCCGGAGGAGGGGCUGGACCUUGGGACCAGAGAGGGGAGGAACUGUGACGCAGGCACCCAAACACCAGGUGCCUGCACGGGGGCCCCACGCGCCUCGGCUGGAGGGUCAGGCCAGGUCCUCUCGGGCCUCCACCUCCGGACGCGCCCAGCCGCUCCAGCCUGUGGGGCUCUGCCUGGGGUGGCAGCACUGUUCUCAGGUCCCUGCCCCAGGGGUCACAGGGCGUCGGAAGGGGCUGCGGGGCCCCACACCCAGCACCUGCCUCCCUCGCCCAGCCCCGUGGCCCACCUUCCAGAGAAAGGCUUGCUGCCUCUGGGGAGGGGGCUUGGCAGUGUCUCUCCUUCUCCUUUUCCCAUUUGUUUCCAGGGACCAAAGCUAGCUCUUCCUUGCAGUGGGAACAUACGAGAGGGAGUGCAUUUUCCACGGCGACUCCCAGGCUCCACCCUGUGGUCACAAAGUUUUAGAGUAAACGCCGAGGAGGAUCCGACUCCAUCCAGAUGGCGGGGCUGAGCUACACAUCCGGCCCCUGGGAGGCUGGAGUGCCCCCCAGCAAGGACGGCCACUCUGAGGCCCGAGUCCCCAUCUGCUGCGCUCUGUCCUGAGAACUUGGGCUCUGGGUGGGGCCUCAGGGUCCCUGAGUGAGUGGCCCCAGGGAGCAGAGCCUGGGGCUUGUCCAUCCUUACACAUGCGGGGACACGAGAGGAAGUGUGACUCUGUCUUCCACGGCAGAACAUGUUAACUUCAGCCGUGUAUUCAAGGCAUCCUGGCCGUUCCCUGUGGCUGCUUCCUGAGGCAGGGACUUCGGCUCACAGUUCUGGGGCUGAAUGUCCGGUCCUGCCCUGCAGAGCAGGCAAAGGGGCGCUGUGUCCAGAAGGAGCCGGACCCUGGGCCCGGGCUGGACGCAACAGUCCCGUGGCUGACCAGGUGCCCAGGAACAGCAUCAGGCCCUCCCUCGGGGGGCGCAGGUGCCUGGCCAGUCCCUCGAGGGGACCUGCUAAGGCUCUUCCACCCCACACACCACCCAGGACCAAGCAUCCAGCGCCCGGACCGCUGGUCACAUGAGAGCCACGUCCAAGCUGUAGCGGAGACCACGGGCCUAGCUUUCUGUCCGCACCGGUGUAAGACUGAGGCAUCUGUGAGAACAGACAAAACACUGUGCAGAGAUAGCAUCACUGCUGCUUCCACCGGGCAGUGGCCCAGGCCAGCAGGGCCGCUGGCGGGUGUGGGUGGCAGGGUCAGCCUGUUCCUGGGCACCCGUUGAAGGCCAUGCGCUGGGCAACAUCGGACAGAGUCUGGCAGGUCAGAGUCUGCAGAGCAGCCCAGUGCUGGUCUGGUCGCUGCAGCUGUGAGUGAUGGGAUCCAAGGACCGGCUGCAGAGAGGGCCCCUGGGCCCGGACAAGGCACUGGGGACACCGGGUGCCGGCCGCACGCGGCUGCGGCUCUGCCCACCGUUGCCACGGCCAGGCUCCAGGGCUGCUGCUCUGGCUGUCUCCGGGAAUCCGACCGUGCCAUCCCGGUCUGAGCAGGGAGCUUCACAUCCCUCCCGCUACGCUCUGACCUGAUGCAGACGCAUUGCCAUGGGGCAGCCAGGCCCGGCAGCACAGUUCACCCCGAUUCCCAGUCAGUGUGCAGCCCUGCUCUUGACAAACGGCAGCCGCCCCUUGUGUGUUUUGGGUGUGGUCUCCCUGUACUGGACUCUCCUGGAGAAAGCCCCACUGUGCCUUUUCCCUUCCACGGCCUCUCACUACCUCACGACCCUAAAGACCCUGCAGCCUGUGUGGGAGCUGCUGGCCCAGUGCCUAGUGCCGGAGCGGCCCUCUCGGGUUUGCCCUGUCGAGCUCGUACCCCGGCUUCUUUUCCUAACAAGAGCCACCCUCAGCUGAGGCCCCGGGCAGGGCUCUGGCUGGAUGCUGGCCGGGGCCAGGGUGUGAGGGCCUGGCCGCCUCCCAGGUGUGUGGAAACCUGUCCUCCCCACCCCUGGUGCCCCGGCACUGGGUCCCCAGUGGCCCAUGCCACCUCUCCCCACUGCCUGCUCAGAGCCGGGGGCUCAGCCUGCCUUGUCCUGGACACAGCUCCUGCCCCCAGACCCAUGCCCCUGAGCCUCUCAGAGCUGGAGCCCCUCCCGAGGACCUGGGACAGCAGGAUGCAGGCUCUGGCUCUGGUGGAUGAACCCGCUUGUCCUCAGGCCUCUGGGGAGCCAGUGAGGGGCCAGGCAGGUCUCUGCCCUGAGUCCCCUCCCCCGCAGCAUCACUGCUGACCAUGCAACUCACUGCCCCCCGAGUGCGGCCGUGCCCCUUGGGGAUGCAGGCCACACCCGGUCUCCACCCAGGAGCUCCAGGCUGGAAUCGAGGAGGUGGACAGGGAUCCAGGAGAGCUGCCUGGAGCAGCAUCUAUUCCUCCUUCCAUUUCUGCCCUCUCCCUCCUCCUUCCUGAGACAGUGAAGCAGGCGAGAACGCACUUGGACCUCGCUGGGAAGGCUUGGCGUGGAGCCCUGGCAGGAGGACAGGGGACUGGAGCCAUCCUCACGAGUUUGAGGCGGCUUCUCGGGAAGGAGUGUUGGUCCUGGCUCUUCCAUGCCAGUGUUGGAGGAGGGAGGUGGGGGUGCUGUGCAGGGCCUGGCAGGGCUCGGGGAUGCGUGGUGGCACCUGGAGCCCGGGGACCAGGCCCGGAGGCUCUGACUCCCUCUCAGCUUCGGUGUGGCCUCGGCCCCUGUUCCUGCGAGCACAGCUAGGGUGGCAGCAGCACUCAGCCAGGCCACCAGCAGGCGAGGGCAGGUGGGGCACCAGGCUUCGACUUGAGAGAUGCCACGCAGAAAGAGCAAGGUCGCCUUGAGCCGAUGCCUUGGAGUCCCCGUGGUUCCUGGGGUGGCGACAGAACACUCUGCUGGCGCUUAAUGCAGGAAGGAGACUGGUGCGGCGCCACGCAGGGCUCACGGCUCUGCUGAGGCCUCAAGGUGCGGGAAGGGGAGGCCCAGAUGUGGCGGCCACGGGGUCCAGCGGGGUCGCGUCACGCUUCACGGCCACCUGCUCGGGGAGCAGACCUCCUGGGAGCAGCACGUGGCCCUUCCCAGCAGCCUGCAAGCCCUAACCUGGGCCCCUGCUCCAGGCCCAACCACCCACACCCGGGAGCAGGGCUCUGGGGACACAGUCACUCCACACGCAGCACAGCGCCAGGCCUACGGGCACAGGGAGGCGGGGCAGGGCUGGAACCUGCACGCUGCGACCCUUGCUCUCUCAACGAGGGCUAUGCCAGGCUCAGAGGCCGCCAAGCACCAGCCUCAUCUGUCCAGGAACCAGGCCACUGCUGCAUCCCCAGGGGACAUGUCCUGCUAGGCUCUGGGUCUCAUGGUGACCCCCAGGUGGGGCAGGCGCCACACAGGGGGACGUAGGUCCCCAGGAGGGACCAGCAGAGUGGGUGGGUGGCAGGGAUGUGCUGAGUCCACAGGCGCAUUUGGCUGGCAGAGGCCUGGACUGGAACUCGCCAGGUGGGGAUGGCAACCCCAUGUCCUGGGAAGGAAGUGGAAGCUGAGGGGCCAAAGGAAUCUUAGCCCUGUGGAGCCAGGAGGGCAGGGGCUGAGGGAAAGUCCUGCAGGAAGGACGGCUGCACUGAGGCCUGGUGGGGUGACAGCCUAGCCCAGAGCAGCAGAGCAAGGGAGAGAGGUUAUCAGUGCUGCAGCUGGGUUUGGGCACAGUUGGGUGCGGGUUUGAUGGCACCCAAGGAUCUGGCUCUGCCUCUGGCUCUGCUCUGCUCUUCCCUCAGUCUGGUGCCCAGGGCUGAGAUGAUUUCAGAGCUUCUCACAUCCCAACAGAUGGGCGGGUCCUGGGAGGAAGCACCAGGAGGCUGGGAUCACCCAACUGUCAGCCCAGGGUGAGGGCCGGGACAGGCCAGGCCCGGAGGACCUGGGGGAUCAUGGGAGGGCCCACGAGGCAGGACCCUGGGGCAGCAGACCAGCUCAGCCUGCGCCUUUCUGACUCCGAUCCCCCAGCAGCAGCCAGCGGGGUGUUUGAUAUUCAAAUUAAAGCAGAGCCAUUUGGGAGACUUGUCCCACAGAAGCCUGUAAUUGGAGCCUGUGGGAACAUUUACACUGAUGGAGAAUUAAUGAAGGCUUUGUUGCUGCUCUUCCGGGAGAAAUCUUGGGAAUUUCACCCAGCAUGUGGCCUGGGAGCCCCUCCCAGCCUUCAGGCUCAGAGGGGACGGAGAGGAAGCCCUGGCCUGGCUGGCCUGGUGGUCAGGUCCUUGCCAGCCUGGCUGGGGGACUCUGGGUGGACCCGGGUGAGGGGGUCAGGGAGGUCGGUGGGAGGUGGGGUGGAGCCAUACGUGGCCCGGGUCCUCCCCUGCUGGUUUUCAGCCUCACACACCCGCAGCGGGGGUAACAGGCCCACCCAGGCUGCGGUGGCUCCUGCUGUGAGCUCCGGAAUUCUGGGCGAAGUCCUGAGCCCAGCGAGGCCGACACAGGGUCACUGCAGAUGCAGUUGUACAAUGAGGUUGCACUGGUGAAGGCCGUGGCCCAGCCUUACAGGAAGGGGCAUCUGGCACAGCCGUGCACCCAGGGAGAAGAUGGCCCCAUGCAGCCAGGGCAGAGAUGGGCCAGUGUGUGCCCCAGGGACCAGCGCUGGGAGAGGCGGGGGCAGUGGCGUCUCCUCACAGCUGCAGAAGGGACCGGAGACACCGUGGUGAGGCUCCUGGCUCCCGACCACGAGACAGUGCCAGCCUCCUGCAGGAGCCUCGAUCGGCGGGCUCGGGACUGCACUGGGCAGCUGUGCGCAGGCCCAGCAGUGGAUGUGGGUCUCCACCACCCUUCUCCAGCCCAGUGACCUCCUCAAGGGAUGGGGAGUGACGACCCUCCCCACAGCUGUGCGCUAACGCAAAGCCACCUGGCCCGCCGCAGCUGGCAGGAGUUUACACUGGCUCGCGUCCCCGGGUGGCCGUGCCAUGACGUGCCGCUGUGAGAACGGAGUGGGGAGACCUGGGCAAGAAGCUCAGAGGAGACUCGUGAGUCUCAGGCCAGAGGCUGUCCUGCACCCCUCCGUCCCCACUUGGAAGGACUCACCAGAGGCCACUCCAAUAACAGCAGGUCCCCCAGGACCCUGCUGAACCCCCAGGAUGGAAAGGAAGGCAAGGGGCCAGCAGCCUUGCCCCACACAAACAUGAAAACCACACACAUGUACACAGCACAUACAGACACACAUAUUUACCCACCUCAUAACCAUGCACACCACACACAUGUGCAUAGUACAUUCACCCACAUACACACAUGCAUGUACCUACCACAUGAGAUGCACCAUACGUGUCACACGUUCACAUUGCUGUGUGUCUGCUUGCACAUGCAUGCAUGUGCACACACACACAUCACACAUGCAGAUAGACACAGGCACACACAUGUGCACACUUGUAAUAAGCUGUGCAUCCCUUCCCGGCAGCACAUGUCUGGGGAAGGCACCAUUGGACAACUUAGUCACAGUGUGAACAUCCCAGAGCACGCGUGCACAGACGCAGGCAGCUGGAGGUCAUAAGGUGAGGCGACCAUGUGGGCCCUCUGUCGUGUGUGGCCCAUCACUGACUGGAACAUCUGUGUUCAUCACAUGAUGAAACAUGCACAUGUACAGGCGUGUACACACCACACACAUGUGUGUACUCAUACUCAUUACAGUGCUAAACGCACACAUGUACACAUGCACAGACUCAUGCACUCACAGUGCUGCGUGUAUACACAUACACACAGACAUACAUUCACAUACAUGCACGCACAGUGCUACCUAUACAUGCACACACAGAAUGCUAUGUCCACAUGUGCAGGCACACAAACACAAACGCACACAUAGCCAGAAGCAACGACCUGCCCGGACCCAUCUGUGUCCUGAGUCACAUGACCCCCUGGGUCUCUGGGCUCACCCUGGUGCCUUUUGCUGGACACCAGCCUCACCCUCCCUGGCAGGGCUGCUGUUUGGUGACACUUAGGCUGCUUCAUCCUGUGGGCCCCCUUGGCAGUUCCUCCAUUUCCCACUGACCACGAGCGCUCUGGCAGGGACAGGGCUGCAGUGGGACAGGACAGGCGGAGACUGGGCCGCUCUGUGGCCCAGCUUCCUGGCUGUGCACAACCUGCCUCCAAGCUGCCCCUGUGUCUGUGCUGCUGCUCACGUCCCCCAGGGGCCGCAGCACAGCCCUGUGUCCUAGAGUCGUUCCCGCUGCGCGUGUCUGUGGAUUUCCCUCUUCUUCACAGCCAUCUACUCCAGCAAGCCCUCACCCUACAGGGGGCUGCUCUAGGGAGCCCGUUCCCAAGGCCCAUCUGAGGUGCUGUGAAGCAGGACUCCAGCAAUGAGCUUGGUUCCCCUCCAACCCGUCGUCUGUAAAAUGGCAGCAGAGCAUUGUGCCUGUGAGGACGAGACCUGCUGGAAGCAGCCACCCGCAGUGCUCUGCAAGGACGAAGACAUGAAAAUGCCUGGAAAGCCAGCGAGACCCUCAAGCCAGUGCCCCCGAGAGCCCUGAGCCCCAGCUGCCUUUCCCCAUGGGGCUCUCGGGUUCUGCUGCCGUCCUGGGACGUCAGCAUGGGGAAAGUGUGGUGGAGACUCAGGGCUCAGGCGAUGGCACUGUCAGGAGCUGACCCUCCCUCUGCACGGUCCUGCUCUCAGGAGCCUCAGACAUAACAUCCCACCCAGCUGGCCUCUGCCGAGCUGAGCCGGAGGAGCUGAUGGCCCAGCAUGGAGGGUGACAUUUUGAGCCGCCCCCGAUGGCCGCCCCCAGGACUGUCUCCCCACUUGUCUUACCUUUCUGCAUUGCUCCUCAUCCUCCUGAGAGCCCAGCUCAUGCCCGUAUUGCUCCCAGGUCUGGCAUCUGCAACCUCGACCUUCAGGCUGGUGGUGCCUCCUCCGGGGACAGUGCCUGCCCUGCUGACCUCUCCGAGACUCUCUGGACUCCGGACACUCACAUGCCGAGGACCUGUCCUCCGGGAACAGUGGGGCCCAGGGGCAAACGUGUCUGAAACAGCACUUCGCCUUGUGAGCCUGCUCUCUGGCGUCCCACAGGCUAGGGCUGAUGACGAGCCCCCCAGACUAUGGCACGACAGGGAGGUUGGGACCCUCAGGAGCUGGAGUCUGGUGGGAGGAAGAAGGUGAAUGACAGGGACACUGGACCUUGGCCACUGGUCCCACGGGGACAUCCCUGUCAUCCACGGCCCUGUGAGGGACUCUGCCCAGCCUGAAGCAGAGCGCCACUGGGAGCCCUGCCCUUAGGUUGUCAUCACAGGUAUGUGGUUAUGGGGACACAGAGAUCACAUGCACAGCCUCGGUCACAACGGUCACCACACCAGAGUCCAGCCAGGGUGGGGAGUGGGCAGUGGAGCCCAAGCCAGGCACAGUACAGAGGCGCAGCACGGCCACCCUCUGGUCAUAGGGACAACAGGCUCGGCUGAACCCAGUCCGGGACCCAUGGGGACCGUCUGAGCAAAGCUAAACAUCUACCGCCUGCCUCGGUGUCUGUGUGGGGCUGCUUCUCUAGGUGACAGCCCAAAGACUCAACAGUGAAGCUGUGAUUUCAUGUUUGUAGCAGCUGAGGUGGGAGGUGCCACAUCUGCCAAUGGUCCCUCUAUGCUGCAGCCUGGAGGGCAACAGGAGGGCAAUGCGACCCAGUCCCCGUCCAGCUGCCUCUUCCUGUGGUGUCCCCAGCUCUCUGGUCCCCAUACCUGAGGACUCAGAGCCCAUGGCGCCUCAGAGGCAGACGGCACAUUCUGGGAGCAAUUUCCUGUGAUAAAGUUGUUUAAAAAAUUGUAUGUCGUAUUGAAAUUAGAUAACUGCUA